ensembl:snRNA U6 U6 spliceosomal RNA
GCGCUCGCUUCGGCAGCAUGUGUACUAAAACUGGAACGAUACGGAGAUGAGCAUGGCCCCCGUGCAAGGGUGACACACAAAUUUGUGAAGUGUUCCGUAUUCUU